CCCUUAGAUGUUCUGGGCAGCACGCGCGCUACAAUGGUCUUCGCAAACGGAUGCAUUCUCGAAGGAGAAUGCCAAUCUUGGAAUCUAUGCCUUGGUCGGGACAGUUGCUUGCAAUUUUUCGACUCGAACCAGGAAUUCCUUGUAAUCGUGAUUCAGCACAUCACGAUGAAUACGUCCCUGCCCUUUGUACACACCGCCCGUCGCUCCUACCGAUCGAAGAGUUAGGUGAAUUGUUUUGAUCGAUAAGAUUUGACUAUGGUCAACUCUCGUUGUGAAAUUCUGUGAAUCUGACUGUUUAGAGGAAGGAAAAGUCGUAACA
rnacentral:rRNA from 1 species